UCCAUAUUGAUUCACUAUUAUAACUUUUCACCAGCGGUCCAUAUUGAUUCACUAUUAUAACUUCAACCAACGGUCUGAAAAAUUAGCACAUCUCCUCAUGGAAUAAUAUUGUACCCAAAAAUGAUUUGGACCGAAAAGAAAUAUAUUUUUCCGAUGAAUAGUACCCCUAUUCAUGGGAAUAGUAUCCCGUGAAUAGUAUCCCGACACGAAAAAUGUCCCAAAUACCCGAGUGAACAAUACUAGAGUGAAUAGUAAUUGGGUGAAUAGUAACCCGUGAAUAGUACUCCUACACGAAAAGUGUCCCAAAUACCUGAGUGAAUAGUAAUCGGGUGAAUAGUAACCCGUAUAGUAUUUCGACACGAAAAAUGCCCCGAAUACCCGAUUGAACAAUAUAACCUCCAGACAUCAAUUAUUAUCAAAAUAAAAUUCGAUUUCUACUAACACUAAUAUUUUCCACACAAUGGAACUAUCAAUUUCAUCCUUAAUCAACACGAACUUAUUCAUC
rnacentral:lncRNA from 1 species